CUCUUGGCUCUCUCUCACCUAUGUGCUCUCUGCCUGUAGGGCGACUGGCCAUGGCGGUCAGACAUUACCCCUGUUCCUCUUCUCUCUUAGUCUCCAUACACUGCCGGGCCCAUAUAAUAAACUAGUCAACAUGUCUCAUCCCUCGAAGCUUUCUCUUUUCCUCUUUUUAAAUCAAAACAUAACAUUGGCGCCCAACUGGACGCCGCCAUCUUGGUCAUGUGCCAUUCUAACCACGUGACGUAGCUUAGUGUGCCCACUCAGUUCAGUGACUUGCACAGGCAAGCACUGCCACCAGACUUGUUGGGUGCAUUUCCCGAGGGUCAGGCAUAGGAUCCUGCUCCAGCAGCGGUGCUUUUUUGCUUUUUCAGUUCGAUCUGCUGGGUCCUUUUUUGGUUUUGGGACAGCUAUGUCCCCUUCGGGUCCAGGCCCCUGGCAACUCCCAGGGGCAGACAUGCAUCCGAAGAGGAGCUUGUGCCAGUUUUCCAGUUGCCUCACCGAUUGGAAAUGCAUACAGGAACCUUUCUGGUUUCAUCCAACAAGCAGCUUCUGGCUCCACCCCAUUUCCUCCAAGAAGACUGAUGGGCACUGAAGAAACUUCAUCUCCAGUCAGUGACAACGCUAGUCACAGAGCAACCCUGCCCUUCACCUCAACUGCUACAAGGUACUCCAGACCGUGAACAAGAUGACAGUGGAAUCGACUUUCCCUGUGUUGCUUGGGCCAAUGGUAGGCGAGUCUUCCUAUAGUCUGUAAUCCACAGGUCACAUGCUAUCACCAAGAAGGCAGGUGUCCUGAAGCCCACUACUAUGGAUGGAGGACCUUGGGGGUGGCUGUCCAUGCAGCCUGCUGGAAGUCUCUGUUAUUCUUUAAUCAUUGAUUCAGGUAAAAUCUUAUCCUUCUCAAGAACUCUGAUUCUUCUGACGACUGGUAGUCUUGCCAGCUAAAAAGCAAAAAAGAUUCCACGAACAGGUAUUUUAGGUUUUCUCUAUGUGAAGAUAGCAAAGUGUAAGAUGUAUGAAGAUCUGAGAAUGUGGUUACGAAGGUCUGAGGAUGGAAAGGUCUAACACGGUAGAAAAAUGAAAGUUAUGAACGUCUGAGAAUGGAAGGUCUAAGAUGGUAAUGAAAAGUGUACGAAUUAAAGUUAUAAAGGUCUGAGGAUAAAAAGGCUUAAGUGGUGAUAAAGUGAGUUGAGACAUUAAAAAGAAUGAAAUAUGUUCCUGAUAUCUCUAUUUCUCAUGCUACUGUUUAUAGUAUAGUAAAGUUCAACAAUACCACUAUACACUCAUAACUAUGAGGUCAAUAUUAAGAUGCUUUUCAUUGUCCUAAAAAAAUCUGUCAAUUUUAAAAUGGUAAUGCUUUCAGCCAAGUUGCUUCUAACAUGAAUAUGCUGCUAAUGUGUCUAAUACUUAUGUUUCCACAAACUCUAAGGAUUCUUGUAAGUUCCAGGGAGCUGAAUUGGAUCCAAACAAACAGAUCUAAGAGGCAUCAGGGAGUUCUGUACAGCCUGGACUGCAAUGAAACAACCAGCUACCCCAGGACGUGGCAGCCCCCCAACCCUCUCAGGUCUCCCAAAGAUGGU
ensembl:lncRNA